GACGAACGCUGGCGGCGUGCCUAACACAUGCAAGUCGAACGCUGACGCCCAGCUUGCUGGGUGGCUGAGUGGCGAACGGGUGAGUAACACGUGAGUAACCUGCCUUCUUCUUUGGGAUAACGCCUGGAAACGGGUGCUAUUACCGGAUAUUCAAUGAUUCUCGCUUGGGGGUUGGUGGGAUGGUUUUUCCUGGUGGGGGAUGGGCUCGCGGCCUAUCAGCUGGUAGGUGGGUGGUUGGCGUACCAAGGCGUCGACGGGUAGCCGGCCUGGGAGGGUGACCGGUCACAUUGGGACGGGGAGACGGACCAGAAUCGUGCGGCAGGCAGCAGUGGGGAAUAAUGCACAAGGGGCGAAUGCAUGAUGCAGGGCGGGAGCGUGAGGGAUGGAGGCCUUGGGAGUGAAAAAGUCUUUCGCGCAUGGUAGAGCCGUAGCUUUGGGUUGUAGUGACGGUAGUGGGUGAAGAAGCGCCGGCUAACUACGUG
rnacentral:rRNA from 1 species